GAUGAACGCUGGCGGCGUGCCUAAUACAUGCAAGUCGAGCGAACGGACGAGAAGCUUGCUUCUCUGAUGUUAGCGGCGGACGGGUGAGUAACACGUGGAUAACCUACCUAUAAGACUGGGAUAACUUCGGGAAACCGGAGCUAAUACCGGAUAAUAUUUUGAACCGCAUGGUUCAAAAGUGAAAGACGGUCUUGCUGUCACUUAUAGAUGGAUCCGCGCUGCAUUAGCUAGUUGGUAAGGUAACGGCUUACCAAGGCAACGAUGCAUAGCCGACCUGAGAGGGUGAUCGGCCACACUGGAACUGAGACACCGUCCAGACUCCUACGGGCGGCAGCAGUAGGGAAUCUUCCGCAAUGGGCGAAAGCCUGACGGAGCAACGCCGCGUGAGUGAUGAAGGUCUUCGGAUCGUAAAACUCUGUUAUUAGGGAAAACCAUAUGUGUAAGUAACUGUGCACAUCUUGACGGUACCUAAUCAGAAAGCCCCGGCUAACUACGUG
rnacentral:rRNA from 1 species